rnacentral:rRNA from 1 species
CCUGAACGCUGGCGGCGUGGCUAAGACAUGCAAGUCGAACGGAAUCCGCAAGGAUUCAGUGGCGGACGGGUGAGUAAUGAAUCGCUAACGUACCCUUAGGCCUGGGAUAGCUAGCCGAAAGGUUAGGUAAUACCAGAUGAAAUGUCCUGAUCGCAUGAUCGGGAUCUCAAAGCCGCAAGGCACCUUUGGAGCGGGCGAUUUCGUAUCAGCUUGUUGGUGAGGUAACGGCUCACCAAGGCGACGAUCAGUAGGGGAUCUGAGAGGAUUAACCCCCACACGGAUACUGAGACACGGAUCCGACUCCUACGGGAGGCAGCAGUAAGGAAUAUUGGACAAUGCCCGCAAGGGUGAUCCAGCCAUGCCGCGUGCAGGAAGACGGCCCUAUGGGUUGUAAACUGCUUUUACACCGGAGAAAACCCCAGUACGUGUACUGGGCUGAUAGUAUGGUGAGAAUAAGCAUCGGCUAACUUCGUGCCAGCAGCCGCCGC